AUCAAUCCUAUCCUUUAACAUGGUUUCCAUCACUUUCCCCACUACUGAAGUAAGGCUUACUGGCCUAUAGUUGCCCGACUCCUCCCUAUUACCUUUCUUGUAAAUGGGCACAACAUUCGCUAACUUCCAAUCUUCUGGGACUACUCCUGUUAACAAUGUCACUUGUCACCACACUGUUUUGUCUUACAGUUUAGGUGGGGAUAUUUAUAUAAUAUGGUAUUGACUGAUUUUGCACUGGGUGGCUGCAUUUUUUUUUAUACGUACAUUUAAUUGGCUAAUCACUUUUUCGAUUCCGCUCCUCUCGUUUCAGUUUAAAGUUUUCUUGAUGGUGCCAUGCUUGAAUUUCCCUCUCAGCUGAAGAAUAUUGUUGGGAUUCGUUGCUUACAUCCGAGACAGGCCGUUAAUUGUGUCUUCCAAGAUCUAAUAAAUGAUGUUCUGCAUGAUAUUCUAUCUUUGUGUGCUGUUGUGUAUUUGGAUGACAUCAUCAUCCAUUCCCCCUAUCUUUAAACACAUCAUCAG